GUAUUGCCUCAUUUAUAUGUGCCGUCCUAACAUUACAGGUAGGCUAUUGGAGCCUUAUUAACUCACACAGCAUCUCAUAAAAGUUAUUCAGCAAACAAAGCUGAUGCUAAACCGUAAAAACUUACUUCAAAUGUGAUGUUUUCUUAUUCUAUGGUAUCCUGCAACAAUAUUCUUUCAUCCUAGGCUGGUCCUUGAUUUGAAAACUGCACAUGCUGCCGGUGAACGUCAAAAAAAAAAAAAACCCUCUUCUUUCGACAAGAGGUGAAAUGAUGCGUCAGUCAGCAUCAGCAACUACAAGUAGCGAAUAAAAUGUUGAAGUGGCACUUGGGGUGGCCAAUCGGAUGCCAGGGGUGUCUAGUGCCACUCUGUACACUUCUCUGGCUCCGCCUGCUGAUAAUGAUUUAGUAAGCUACGCAACAAAGCUGUUUACUAAUCUAGCAUGUUUUCUGGGUGAAAACAGAAGAGGUUGGCUCAACGAUUAAGGCUCUGGGUUAUUGAAAAGAAGGUUGAAGUUCAAGCCCCAGCACCACCAAUCUUCCAUUGUUGGGCCCUUGAGCAAGGUCCUUAACCAUAUCUGCUCCAGGAGUACCUUAUCAUGGCUGACACUGUGCUCUGACCCCUACUUCCUAACAAGCUGGGGUAUACAAAAAAAAGAGAGUUUUGCUGUAAUGUAUAUGUGGCAAAUAAAGUCUUCUUUUUCUUUUCCUGAA